rnacentral:rRNA from 1 species
GGGGAAUUUUCCGCAAUGGGCGAAAGCCUGACGGAGCAAUACCGCGUGAGGGAGGAAGGCUCUUGGGUCGUAAACCUCUUUUCUCAGGGAAGAACACAAUGACGGUACCUGAGGAAUAAGCAUCGGCUAACUCCGUGCCAGCAGCCGCGGUAAUACGGAGGAUGCAAGCGUUAUCCGGAAUGAUUGGGCGUAAAGCGUCCGCAGGUGGCAAUGUAAGUCUGCUGUUAAAGAGUGAGGCUCAACCUCAUAAGAGCAGUGGAAACUACAUAGCUAGAGUACGUUCGGGGCAGAGGGAAUUCCUGGUGUAGCGGUGAAAUGCGUAGAGAUCAGGAAGAACACCGGUGGCGAAGGCGCUCUGCUAGGCCGUAACUGACACUGAGGUACGAAAGCUAGGGGAGCGAAUGGGAUUAGAUACCCCAGUAGUC